rnacentral:lncRNA from 1 species
CCCCCCGUUUCUUCCAGAUUUGUCAGCCUUCUGGUUCGGCUUAAGUUUUUGCUUUUUGUCCUGUCCCUCUUCUUUUUCCCUUUUCCUUUUUGUAAUUUGCAGUAUUCAUUGUGUUGUCCUCUUAUCUUGUGAUCCUUUGUUUUGUCUUCUUCCUAUUUCUAAAAUCGCCUUCUUCCAUCCUCGAUCAAUUUCCAUUUUCUAGGUCUGUUUUCAGCUUUCUUGUACGCGGAAAUGGCGCCAAGCUAUGUCAAGUGACAACAACAAGUCACAGAAUAGUAUACCAGGUUAUAAGGUUUAUUCUCUCUUCGAUUCUCUCGUUUCUGAGAUUUGGUGUUUGGUUUCAGAGUUAUUCGUGCUUUUGUGUUUGCGUGCGUGUGUGUUAGAAAGAAACAGAACUGCGUAGUAUGUGUUGAGUGUCUCCACGAUCACGAA